CAAACGACUCUCGGCAACGGAUAUCUCGGCUCACGCAUCGGUGAAGAACGUAGCAAAAUGCGAUACUUGGUGUGGAUUGCAGAAUCCCGUGAACCAUCGAGUUUUUGAACGCAAGUUGCGCCCGAAGCCAUUCGGCUGAGGGCACGUCUGCCUGGGCGUCACGC
rnacentral:rRNA from 1 species